UCUCUCGCUCAGAGCUGGUUACCUCUGCUGGGAGCAGAACCAGCGGAGCCCUCCCUGAUUUAUGCUCCCUCUCCCAUUACGAGCAACUUCUGUCGAGUUCCUGUCCGACCCCCAAGGAAGGAGCUGAGUCCUGCCACGCUGAGAUAAGCCGCUUGCCAGUGUCAGCACUCUGGAGAUCGGCUCUCAGCGCACUUCAGCAGAGCUUCAAAGUCAAGAAAAGGAAGUUUGGGGCCCAAACUCCCACUGACAGCAACAGGGGUCAAGCAUGAGACUGCCACGUGGGCCUCCAAAAACAUCCCUCCGUGCUUCCAGAUGCCCGUCUGUCCGUGGGAUGGUAACACAGUGUGUGCAGAAAACGUGUCUGGGAAGCGCUCAGACAUGUGGAACACAUAAGCAUCUAAAAAGCAGCAGUUCACACCCUUUGGAAAAUAUCCCUCUGUCCCUGUGUCCCCUGUUGUCAUUUUGGCAUGAAGUCGGAAUUUGAAACCCUUUUUCUAAGCUGUUGGCAGCUGUUCUGCUUGGGAGGUUUGUGCAAGAAGCAACUCAGGUAGAUGAGAUAGAUGCCUGUGUAAGCCGUUCUCCUCUGUCUGGGACUGUCCCCUAUGUACUUAUCCUGCCCUAUUCUGUCCUUUCUGCUAACGAAGCUCACAGUGCUCAGCUCAUUAAGUGCAGCUACGUUUCCCUCCCGUGAUUAAUUCCAACUGUCCAAACACAGCAGCUCUGGGGGAGCUUUCAGCCAGCCAAGUGCAGGCGCCGUGUGCUAUUUCUCGUGCCCCGGGGUGUCCCAUGUGGCCCUGGCUGCUGCCCCAGGAGGGGCUGAAUGAGGCUUUAUAGCUCAAGUUUGGGUCUUUUUUUCCAUAGCACUACUCUCCAGGACAUAUAUGUGUGUUUUAUCAUUGCCAUAACUCUCCCUUUGUUGCCCAAAUAUUAUGCUGCAGCCUCCCACUUGUUUUGCCCAUAUUGAUCUGAGAGGUCUCACCCUCUUACACAUAGGGAAUACAAUCUGCAAAAAUGUGAAUACCCACAAGAAAGUAUCUGCUUUCUUACUAGCUGAGCACAACCUCUCAAGAGAAAGAGUGCCUAAUUUCUCUCUUCAGCCAGAUCUCCUAAUGUAAGCAAGCUGUUCCCUUCAACCAGUUGCCUGGCUUACGUAUGGUUUCAAAUUGAUGUUGUUAAUUCAGUGACAGAUGCACAAGGUGCCAUUAGUGGUUCUUAAAUGGAAGCAUAAUUUUUACCCAUCAAGAUCCUUUUACCACGCUGGUGCUUACAACCUUCACUGGGGGAUAAGAGCCACAGCAGUGAGCUGGUCAUAAUUUCAACACUGUCUUGUGGACAUGCAGCUACAACAGAAACAUGCAGGCUUUGAAAUGCCACUUUUGGGGUUAGAUUCAGCCAGAGCAUCCAAGUUCAUGGCACAUUUGCUUUUUCCUACACUGAGGCUGAGUUUGGUUUUGUGUGGGAGUUGCAUUGUUGAGAUGGACAACAGUUCUGUGAUUGGCAGUGCAUUAGGGGUGACUUAAUGUUGAGAUGGACAAUCAUAGUUCUGUCCUUCACGUGACCAAAGGUACAUCAAGGCAGGGACAGGGACAGCACAUCCCCAAACACACUAGAAAUGAGGCUUAGAAGAAAGCCACUCAGUAAUACAAGCACAGUUCCCCUGCCCUUUGGAAGCUGCUCUCACUUGCAGCCUGCAGACAAGGGGACAAUUAGUGGUGCUUGCGGCAGAGCGAGCUUCUGUGAUGUGGUGCUUUGUCCACUGGGAUCUCUUCUGAGGUCAGCAGCUCAUUUUGGAUCAUGCAGCGCUGGGCAGCUUUCAGAUGGGAACAAUUUUUGCUAGUUGCCAUCAUUACAAGCUGCACAUGAGAUCAUUCAACCUUCAACAGAUGCUUAAGGAAGUCUCCCUGAGAUUGGCUUCGGAGCACAGCUACACACUCAUGCAUGCAUGCACGUGAAUGGCAAAGGGACUGCUGAAGGAGAAAAGCAUUAUCCUUAUUUCCUCCUCCUCUGAGUCAGGGAGUCUGCACUGCGGGCUCUGAUUCAUCGCGCCAACAGAGCCGGAACCAGAGCUAUCAUUUGAAUUUGCAAGACUGCUUAUCAAGCUGCUGACAUGCAAGAGGAAACCUGGGGAACAAUUGUUCCCCAUGGGACUAUGCAUACUGUUUGAAAUGUCUGGAGUGGGUGGGGGGCUAUGAUACAGAAAGCACUGCCAGAAAUGGCUUUUUUUGCAAAGCUGGCAGCUUACAAAAGGAGCCGGGGAUCUGAGUGGUAUACGGUGCACUGUGGAGAAUUCAGGUGCAAGCUACAGGAAUUUUGUCUUUGGAAACCCCUUCCAAGAAGCAGACAAGCUCGCCAGGCACCAGAUGUUUAUGACUAGUUACAAAGGGCUGCAGUCAAAGCCCUUCAGAGGCAAGCUUCUUUUGUGAGCACACUUGUGGUUUGCUAGCUGCUCCCUAAUUAAAUUGAGCCUGGAGGAGAGGAGGCCCCGGGAUCUGCAUCCGUUUCAGCCAUAUGAGUCUGAAGAAGUUUUUUACCUUUUUUAUUGGCUGUGGGGCUGGUUCGGUGGAGUUUGCACGCAGCAGGAGGUAGGGUCAGUGUGAGAGCAUGUGAGGAAUGCCAGAGGCUCCUGAUAUAGAAGGGAGCGUGUUUUUUGAAUGAACAUAAAGGAGCCUUUCUGGGUUGGUCACUCAUGCCAUGGGUGACUGGGACUUCACUGACGCGUAGGGAGCUCAGGUAAUCUGUGCUAGGCACUGGGCUGUGCUCAGGAAGCCUUGUUUGCACACUCAGAAGAGGAACCGUCCAUACAUUUGGGAGCUCCUGGCAGUAAUGAAGCUGUUGCUGGCUCUUGUGUCACCUUUGGUAGUAACAGAACAGAGAGGGCUGCUGAAAGGCAGCAAAGGUGGUUGGUGCCCAUUAAUCACCAUAUCAUUGAAUCACAGAAUGGCUUAGGUUGGAGGGGAGCAAAAAGAUCAUCUAGCUCCAAUCCCCCUGCCAUGAGCAGGAUUGCCAGCUGCCAGCUCAGGCUGCCCAGGACCCCAUCCAGCCUGGCCUUGAGCACCUCCAGGGAUGGGGCACCCACAGCUUCUCUGGGCAGCUGUGCCAGUGCCUCACCACCCUCUGAGUAAAAAAUUUCUUCCUAAUGCCUAGCUGAAAUCUUCCCUCUUUUAGUUUAAAGUCAUUCCCCCUUGCCCUAUGACUACCAGACCAUGCAACAAGUCAGUCCCACUCCUGCUUGUAAGCUCCUUCAAGGACUAGAAGGUUGCUUUGAGAGCCAGAUGUAAAUGCCCAAGUACGUGGUGUCUUUUUCCUUUUUCUUUGUGUAUGUUUUGCCCUGAAGAACCUGAGAUAAGGCAGAAGUAAAGUGAGUUACUCAGCAAUGAACAUGCUCUUGGUAGUUUCAGAUAUCAAACCUGGUAGCCGUUUCCAAUCAAUUCAUCUGCAGAAGUCUAUGGAGGAUCUAUCUGCUGUUUUUCUGCUGUCUUUGGUGACCAAAGGGGAGCUACUAAUGAAAUGAAGCCAGACGUUUCUCAGAGUUGCUUAGUGGCAAGAAAAGAUGCAAAAAGCAGAGGUUGCAGGAACAGAAAUUCUAACCAGAUAUAUGAAGAAAAAACAAAAACACUCUACAGUCAGUACUGUAGAGCUGUGAGUAACCUGACCUGACUUUGAAGCUGACCUAACGCUGAGCAGGAGGUUGAGCUCUUUGUCCUGUGUUUUUCUUUGAUUCUAAGCAUCUAAUAAAUGACCAGCUGUGAUUGCUCUUGGUCUCACAUGGCAUCUGCCAGCCCUUCCAGCUUCACAGCUUCUUGAAUGAUUAAUUCCUUGUUAAAUCAUAGUAUGCAGAAGGAACAGUCAUCCCUCUGAAUGCAUGGACUACCACCUUAGCACCUAGAUGACUGGGCGCUCUGAGAGGCUUCUAGGAAAGGCAAGGAAAUAUGGAGCCCCUUCACUCACCUAUGCUAUGGGCAAGAGUCACAACCCUGGAUGACAUCCUGGUAACAAAUCUGGCACUGAACAAUAAAACCAAACAAUGGCAGUAUUUUCACACAGCUUGCACGAGUGCAGCUACAAACCCCCAAGUCUUUUGCUGUUCAGUUUAAAGAUGAAACAAACACAACAAAAAAAUUCCUCUGUGGAUAUCUGAUUUCCUCCUCUGAACAAACCAGCAACCAAAAUUCUAGGGGCUGAGUUAUGUGGGAGGUCAGGGUGGAGGUUAUAAGCAGUCCCUUUCUGGCUUUAAACUACAAAAAUCACAGCUCUACCAAAGUCAGUGACAGUUUUGUCCCUGUUGUUUCAGUGGGGCUAUGGUUUUCAUGCAUGGGUUUGUGUUCUGCCUCAAGCCAAUCCUGCUCCCAUCAAUCAUAUCUCUGUCAAACUAGUUAGUUAGAAAGAACGAAGAAGGAUUUGAUCCAGGCAGCACCAACUCAGCUCAAACAAAUGGGAUCUUGUUUCAGGGACAGAUUUACUAAGAGAUUUCCAUGGGCUGUCACCUGUGAAUUAGCCUGACCCUGUGCUAAGGGUGCCCCACAGGUCAUGAGAUGAGGAUGCUGCUGCACUGUAACUUAGCCCUCUAUCCUGCCAUGCCUUCCAUUCAUUCCUGUAUUUCAAUCAGUUUGGGACUUUUUUUUUCCUUCCUAGAACAGUAAUUAAAAAAAAAAAAAUUACGAGGUUUCCUGUGUGAUUUGAUGUGGGAAAAAAAAACCCAUCAAUGAUCUUCCCAGAGGCUUGCUGUCCUCCCUUUCCCCAUGGAAUGAGAGAGUGGCUUGGCUAAGCAGGACUUUUGGUGGUCUGUCAACAACCCCAGCUCACUAUCUAAUUACUUCCCCUUUGGCUGCAGGGCUCUUUUUCUGCCUAACAAACAGUUUCUAGUUCAGUUUGAGAUCAUUCUUGCUGUGCGCUGAUCCCAUGGGACCACACCCCACCAACAAAUGUUUCUAGCUUGACCAAACAGAAAUUGCAUUUGUAUCUGUAUAAUCACCACUGUGCAUUUAUUUCCAUUAUGAAGAGACAAUUCCCUAUUAAAUUUCAAAGUGGUUUACUGGCUCAGAGAGACAGUAAAGCAUCAGCUCACAGAGGGAAGAGCUGUCAUUUGGACAAAACAUUAUUUGUCUACAUAAUGUAACUCAAUAUUUGUGUCUAUAACUGUAUACAGACUGGGAAACCAGAUUUUGGGUUUAUAUACAUGACUGAAUCCAUCUUCAGCACACAUAUAUUUGUCAUACUGUUAGGUACUGCAUGGCUGUCAACAUUCUUGGUGCCUGUAAAAUUCUAAAUCAAUA